rnacentral:rRNA from 1 species
AAUAGAUACCCCGGUAGUCCACGCCGUAAACGAUGAGUGCUAAGUGUUAGAGGGUUUCCGCCCUUUAGUGCUGCAGCUAACGCAUUAAGCACUCCGCCUGGGGAGUACGGUCGCAAGACUGAAACUCAAAGGAAUUGACGGGGGCCCCACAAGCGGUGGAGCAUGUGGUUUAAUUCGAAGCAACGCGAAGAACCUUACCAGGUCUUGACAUCCUCUGACAACUCUAGAGAUAGAGCGUUCCCCUUCGGGGGACAGAGUGACAGGUGGUGCAUGGUUGUCGUCAGCUCGUGUCGUGAGAUGUUGGGUUAAGUCCCGCAACGAGCGCAACCCUUGAUCUUAGUUGCCAGCAUUUAGUUGGGCACUCUAAGGUGACUGCCGGUGACAAACCGGAGGAAGGUGGGGAUGACGUCAAAUCAUCAUGCCCCUUAUGACCUGGGCUACACACGUGCUAUAAUGGAUGGUACAAAGGGCUGCAAGACCGCGAGGUCAAGCCAAUCCCAUAAAACCAUUCUCAGUUCGGAUUGUAGGCUG